GAUGAACGCUAGCGGCAGGCUUAACACAUGCAAGUCGAGGGGUAUAGUUCUUCGGAACUAGAGACCGGCGCACGGGUGCGUAACGCGUAUGCAAUCUACCUUUUACAGAGGGAUAGCCCAGAGAAAUUUGGAUUAAUACCUCAUAGUAUGUGAGAAUCGCAUGGUUUUCAUAUUAAAGUUCCAACGGUAAAAGAUGAGCAUGCGUCCCAUUAGCUAGAUGGUAAGGUAACGGCUUACCAUGGCGACGAUGGGUAGGGGUCCUGAGAGGGAGAUCCCCCACACUGGUACUGAGACACGGACCAGACUCCUACGGGAGGCAGCAGUGAGGAAUAUUGGACAAUGGGCGCAAGCCUGAUCCAGCCAUGCCGCGUGCAGGAUGACGGUCCUAUGGAUUGUAAACUGCUUUUGUACAGGAAGAAACACUCCCUCGUGAGGGAGCUUGACGGUACUGUAAGAAUAAGGAUCGGCUAACUCCGUGCCAGCA
rnacentral:rRNA from 1 species